CUAGGACGAAAUAAGAACGUUUCUCCCAGAGCCUCUGUGCAUAUAUUGGCUCUCUUAAAUUCCGGUCGGCCUAUACACAUGACUCUACGUUUUCUAUUCUAUUGAACUAUGCAUGUCGAAAGUGCAUGCAUGGUAUUCUAUAUUGUAUACGUAUGUCGAAAGUGGAUAUAUAAAAACAAUAGGAAAUCACUGGACAAUGGACACCGCCAAUUAAUUGGCAAUGUCUGUCCCAAAGUGUCCGUUGUGUGGAAGUUCCAUGCACAAAACAAAACAAAACAGAGUGGUCACUGGUGUUUUUAUAGGCAUUUUACUAAUUUUAGAACGUUAUUCAUACAAAAUAAAUUUAUAUGUGAUCAGUUUUGGAGAUGUUGUAAAUGUUGCAACUGCAACUGUUGUAAAUCCAGAAACUGACUAAAAAUGGGUUCAAGCCUGAAGUGGAUUGAAAUCAGUUAUAAAUCGAGUUUUUCAUGAGUUUGUCUGAAAUCAAAAUACAAUAGGAUGGUAUAUCAUACACAAGCACUGCUUGGUGUCGUUUUGUCAUGAAAAGUAAAAAGAUGCACAGUAAUGUGCAUUGCUUUGAAUAUGUAAUAAUAUUAUAUUCUGUUUAAUAAAUUUGGGAUUGUUUUUAUAUAGGUAAUCAAUACUCCGUAUCACCAAACAAGUCCUGUAUCUAUUGUUUACGAAAAGGAAGGUUACCUGCUCAAGAAAGCGCCAACUGCUGCUGUAAGUUUUGAGUCUAUCAUUAUUAAUAUAAGGUUUCCAUAUAAUGGUUGUUAGGGAAAUUAAGCAUACUGUCGUUUCGAAUGCAAUUUUGAACGAAAACGUACAAGGGUGUGUUCGUCAUAUAGACUUACCAACAGUCGGCCUCAGAAGUGCAUGGACCGAGGACGAUGGCCCCCUAUAUAUAUAUAUAUAUAUAUAUAUAUAUAUAUAUAUAUAUAUAUAUAUAUAUAUAUAUAUAUAUAUAUAUAUAUAUAUAUAUAUAUAUAUAUAUAUAUACUUUAUUUAUUUAUAUAUAAAUAUAUAUAUAUAUAUAUAAACGUAUUAGUGGACCAUAUUAGUAGUAAUGAUUAUUUAUGCUGUCAUGCAGGUGUGGCGAAAAAGGUAUUUUAUGUUGAAAGGACGCGAAUUGGUGUAUGACAAAGGUG